CCUACGGGAGGCUGCAGUGAGGAAUAGUGGUCAAUGGACGAGAGUCUGAACCAGCCAAGUAGCGUGAAGGAUGACUGCCCUAUGGGUUGUAAACUUCUUUUAUAAAGGAAUAAAACGAGGCACGUGUGCAUUUUUGCAUGUACGUUAUGAAUAAGGAUAGGAUAACUCCGUGCCAGCAUCCGCGGUAAUACGGAGGAUCCGAGCGUUAUCCGGAUUUAUUGGGUUUAAAGGGAGCGUAGAUGGGUUGUUAAGUCAGUUGUGAAAGUUUGCGGCUCAACCGUAAAAUUUCACUUGAUACUGGCAGUCUUGAGUACAGUUGCGGUAGGCGGAAUUCGUGUUGUAGCGGU
rnacentral:rRNA from 1 species